rnacentral:rRNA from 1 species
AUGGAUGAACACAUGGGACGACGGACGGUCGGCGGCCUCCUCUUCACCAAGGGGGGAUCCAUCCUUCUCUUCAGGGAGGACAGCUCCCGCCGCAAGGCCGGCGCUUGCUGCUCGCGCAAUGGCUGCAACGGCACCCGGCAUUCGGCAGACAAAGGCCGGCCAAUGCACAGCCACAGGGAAGCAGCUUCAGCAGCAGCCAAGGAAGCAGCACCAACCCCCCGGAGGUCACAACCUGUCAGGAAACCUCCACAGGGAAGCAGCAAUCCAGCAGGGCCCUGUAGCGAAACCGACAACGGGACGGGAGAGGCGGCGGCUCCCGGUGCCGGGCGUGACCUGCUGGCGCGCCUCAAGGACAGGGUGAACGCGUCGAGGAAGCGGUCGCUGGCCAGGGAGAUGAGCAGCCCAUCGUCAUCGUCCGGUGGAUUCAGUGCCAGUUCUUCUGGUGGUGGCGCCACCCGGUCAUCAGCGGUUUCGAGGCCGACGCGUCGUGCCGCUUCCAGGAUAAGGAAGGCAGAUGAAGGCGAAAGCGCAGGAGGUAGUCGCAGGGUGCCUAGGAGGGACACCGGUGGUGGCGGUGGUGCCAGGGGGAAUUCGGAUGACCCGGUGAUGGUUGGGCAGCGGGCAGCAAGGGAGCAGGCGCCUACCGAAGGGUUCAUCUCUGGGUUCUUGGCGAGGUACAGGGGUAGUCUCCAGGGAGGGUCGUCUCUGCAGGAUGGCGCCGAGGACUCCAGCGGGUACUGGCGCUUUGACGUCGAGGGCAGCGAAGAGCUGGAGAACUACUUCAUGCUCAGCGAUCGGCACCGAGCGAUGAGGAUGGACAUCGAUGGCAUGUCCUACGAGGAAUUGCUCGCGUUGGGUGACCGGAUCGGCACGGUGAACACCGGGCUUUCGGAGGACGCGUUGUACAAGUGCCUGAAACGAAGCCUGUACACGCCCACAGCCCCAGAGACACACCAAGACUGCGACAGAAAAUGCAGCAUAUGCCAGGAGGAGUACUCAGGCGGUGAGGAGGUGGGGAACAUGGCGUGUAAGCACUACUACCACAUCGCCUGCAUACAGCACUGGCUCCGGCAGAAGAACUGGUGCCCCAUCUGCAAAUCCGUCGCCGCCAAGACCGUCUAG